UAUAGAAAUAUAUGUGACAGAUCAUAAGUAUUAAAGUAUUAAAAAACAACUUAAACUGUAUUUUUAUCUAUUAAUUUAUAUGAAUUCUCAAUAUUUUUUUACCACGUGGUAAAUUUUUCUUCACCUUUACCACCAUAUGAUUCUUCACCUUAAAUUUUUAAUUAACGUAUCUAAUUAAUACAUCUAAAAUAGCCUACUACUAAACUUCCAAUUAAUGUAUUUAAAUUCUCUAUUAAAUUUUUAAUUAACUUAUCUAAUUAAUACAUCUAAAAUGACCUACUAUUAAACUUCCAAUUAAUGUAUUUAAAUAAUUCCACUAUCAUUUAUAAUUCUCACUUUUUUCUUUCUAAUUAAUUUAUUGCGGUCCUUCACUUAAUCCAUUUAAACAGUCCGCCAUCAUUUACAAUCCUCACCUCUUCAUCUUCAUCUUUUCUUCUAAACCAUCGCCUUCCUCCCUUCCUCCCUCUCUCUCACUAAUACGCGCUUGCCUCCUCUCUUCGGAGAUACAAGAAAAUAUUUGAUGUUUUUUUUAUUAUUAAUUAUUUCUAUAGUUUCUAUCCGCUGUGAAGCACGAGUUCUUCACUAAUAAUAAUUAUUGGAGGACUUUUUCAAUUCUGUAUCGUCUCAUCUUGUUUAAAUAAACUUUCGCUUUUGGGCGAUUUUUCUCAGAAAAAAAAAAAAACUUAAA
rnacentral:lncRNA from 1 species